rnacentral:rRNA from 1 species
GACGAACGCUGGCGGCGUGCCUAAUACAUGCAAGUCGAGCGGACUUUCAAGAAGCUUGCUUUUUGAAAGUUAGCGGCGGACGGGUGAGUAACACGUGGGCAACCUGCCUGCAAGACGGGGAUAACUCCGGGAAACCGGGGCUAAUACCGGAUAAUAUCUUCCUUCGCAUGAAGGAAGGUUGAAAGGCGGCGCAAGCUGCCGCUUGCAGAUGGGCCCGCGGCGCAUUAGCUAGUUGGUGAGGUAACGGCUCACCAAGGCGACGAUGCGUAGCCGACCUGAGAGGGUGAUCGGCCACACUGGGACUGAGACACGGCCCAGACUCCUACGGGAGGCAGCAGUAGGGAAUCUUCCGCAAUGGACGAAAGUCUGACGGAGCAACGCCGCGUGAGCGAAGAAGGUCUUCGGAUCGUAAAGCUCUGUUGUCGGGGAAGAACAAGUACCGUUCGAACAGGGCGGUACCUUGACGGUACCUGACCAGAAAGCCACGGCUAACUACGUG